GAUGAACGCUAGCGGUAGGCUUAAUACAUGCAAGUCGUACGGGAUUUAAAACUUCGGUUUUAAUGAGAGUGGCGCACGGGUGCGUAACACGUAUGUAACCUACCUUGUAGAGAGGGAUAGCCCGAAGAAAUUUGGAUUAAUACCCCGUGGUCUUGUAGAACGGCAUCGUUUUACAAGUAAAUGGAGCAAUUUGCUACAAGAUGGACAUGCGCAUGAUUAGAUUGUUGGUGAGGUAACGGCUCACCAAGUCCAUUAUCAUUAGGGGUUCUGAGAGGAAGGUCUCCCACACUGGCACUGAGAUACGGGCCAG
rnacentral:rRNA from 1 species